rnacentral:tRNA from 1 species
GCCUGGCUGGCUCAGUCGGUAGAGCAUGCGACUCUUGAUCUUGGGGUUGUGAGUUCAAGCCCCAUGUUGGGCA